rnacentral:tRNA from 1 species
GUUGUCGUGGCCGAGUGGUUAAGGCGAUGGACUAGAAAUCUUUUAGGAUCUUUCAGCGCAGGUUCGAAUCCUGCCGACAUCG